GUUCUGGAUGGAAAAUUCAUUAGCUGAUGUGCUUUUUGAGAAUCUCUAGUUGAGCAGUCUAAUAGUAUAAGCAAUGAUUAUAUACUGUAGUGUUUGGAGAUUUUAUGUGUCUACUUGGUUGAGAUGUUUCAUAUAUGUCUAUAUAGCUUGUGCUAUGGUAUGGUAGAAUUUUUUAUUGUUUUGGAAGGAAUUGAUGCACCAGCCUUUCACUUUAGUCUCCAAGAUAGAAGGGCUUUCGUUGUAUCUUUUCACUAAAUUGAAAAUUCUUAUUCUGACUCUUUGCACUAUUUACUAGUGAAGGUUUUUUGCAACUCUCAUCCCAUUGAGAUUGCGUCAUGCUUCCAUUACUGUUCAUUUGUUAAUAUUUUAUUUGCAACCUGAUUAUGGAUUCUUGAAACACCUCUGCCAUAAACUUUUAACCCGUCAAGAUAUGUGUAAUGUUAAUCUUCAUCAAGUCCUUGGACAAUACCAUGGUUCUUUUAUAAAUAUCCUACUGGUUGAGUGUAUUGAUUUUUAUCUGUAGAACACCUUCCUUCUCAUACAAUAAUACAAUAGCAUCUACAAUGUAAUAGUUUUGAGUUUUGUUUAGAAGGAGAUUUUCUCCAAAUAGUUUUUUUUAUGUUUUUUAUAUUAGUUUUUCAAUAUAUAGGUCUCUUGACCAAAUCCUAUCAAUAAUAUAUUUUUUAGUAUGUUUUUCUUUGUCAUUAUCACCAUGAUGGUUUGAAACUAUUAGCUUCCGCACGACGUUCUCUCGAUUUUGAACCCAAAAAGUGGUAUCAGAGCUUAUGGUUCAAUAGUUCAAAAGUUUGGUGAAACGAGAUUAAAUAGGUUCAAAGCAGUUUCAAAUCAAGAUGCAAUCAGUUUGGCGAUAAUGAUGAUUUUGUCUAACUACAUGUGGAGACAAUUAUCAAUCAUAUUUCAAUAAUUCCAUUUGUCAGAUAUUUGAUAAUAAAGCUUACUUUUAACCCUGCAAAAAGAGUUCAAUAUUUUUUAACCCAAAAGGGAUAAUAUAUUUUUAACCCAAAGGGCUCCAUUUUUAAGCUUGACAAACAGAAGAGAUAUAUGAAGAUUAUGUGAAAAUCAAAAUCAUACAUGUGAUGUGAAGAAGACGGAUCAAGUUAAGAAAAUCAAGCCAAAAAAGGAGAGAUUUGUUAGGAUUUUGCCCUGAUUUUCUUACAAAAAUUAAGUUUUACUUCUUCUUGAAAGGAAAAUAAAAGUAACCAUAAUUACUUUUAUUUUUUACUAAAAGAAAAAUAUAAAAAAAUUUCAUAUUUGGAAAACCUGAGGAAAGAUUUUGGAACUCUAUAAUAGAAAACCCCUUCCUUCUCAUACAAUAACAUUGAGUCUUGUUUAGGAGAAGAUUUUCUCCAAAUAGUUUUUUUUAUGUUUUUUAUAUUAGUUUUUCAUUAUGUAGGUCGCUUGACCAAAUUCUAUCAACAAUAUGUUUUUUAGUAUGUUUUUCAUCACCAUGAUAGUUUGAAACUAUUAGCUUUCGUAUAAUGCCCUCUCGAUUUCAAACCUGACAGCUACAUCUUUGUGUCAUGCGGGAUGUGAACUUCCAUAAGCAUUUCCUUUUACAUGAGUACCUACCAUGUCAGAUGUUUUACAAUCUGGAGUAGCUUCAACAUUGAUUCUUAGAGACGAAACAUCAGCGUUAAGCAACUGUUGUUGUUGCUGCAAGUUAAGCACAUGGUGGUGAUGGUGAUGGUAGUGAUGGUGAACUUGGAACUUCUGGUGCAUCGCUCUUACUUGGCCCGGGGCUGCCUUUGCAGCAUCUUGAUUUCCUGGAACCAUAUGUUAUGUAGAAGAAUUGUUUCCAUGUUGUACUGGUUGAAAUGCAGAACAGGGAUGGGCAUUGACUGCAGGUUUAUUUAUUGGCUUGUCAAUUAAUAUGGCUGGUUUGAUGAAAAAAUUAUUUAUUGAGGAGCCUAUGUCAUUUUUGUUACCACUUCCAUUUGAGUGAUGCGGUGCCUAGCCUGCAAGACAUAGUGUAAUUAAAGCUGAAUGAGAUAUGUUUCUGUUAGCUUAUUUAUCACUCUGACAAUUUUUGCUGAGAAAUUCAUAGAGCAAAUUGUUACCACAAAAGAGGAUAAAAAGCACAUUGCCGGACUGGGACAAGCAUGUUCAUGCUAUUUUUGGCAUUAUUCAGAUAGCAACAUCGUAGAGACCAAAUUUUUACAACAUUGCGUGGUCGUCUGUUGUCACGGCAUUAGUGUCAUUUUGUUACUCUUUCAUUGGAUUGGGCCUUGGAUUUUCUAAAGUGAUUGGUAAAACUUGGACAGUUAUCUUUCUCUUCAUUUCUUGUCUCUCAUCUCACAUUUCAAAAAAGUAUUUCUUUUGAAAAAUCUGUGUAUUUUGAUUAGUAGACUUGAUGUUCGAUCUGUAGAUAACAAGAGUAUCAAGGAAGCAUUGUGGGAAUAACAACAAAGAGUGCUUCUCAGAAGAUAUGAUUAGUCUUCCAGGCACUCGAUAACAUUGCUUUUGCCUAUCCUUAGUCGGUUAUUGUCCUCUAGAUACAGGUAAUAAGUAAUGACAUUCCACAAGUUUUAUGUCUAAUGUAUACUAGUCUUAACUUCAGGCAUUUCUUAUUAUAUCAUAGCAAGAUAUUAAUGGAUCCAACUCUUAUAAUUUGUCCUGAUACUAGAUCAUUGAAUAUUGAUUUGCAUAGUAGAUGCCGACUUGUUUAGGACAUGCAUUCCUCUAGUUGGAAUAGUUGGCACUAAUAGUAUCUCAGAGACGGCUGAUGUUUCUCCUAAUAUUAAUUUUUUAUGGAGUGAAGGAUACACUAAAAUCGCCUCUACCAAAAAACCAAACCAUGAAGAAGGCAUCAAUGACCACAAUAGUUAUCACCACUUUCUUCUAUCUAUGCCUUAGUUUCUUCGGCUAUGCAGCCUUUGGAAAAGACAUAACAGGGAAUCUCUUGACAUUCGACGAGACAUUUUGGUUUGUUGACUUUGCAGGUAUUCAGCCAGGUAGUAUUUGCAUUUGUGGAAAAAUGGACAACUCAGAAGUACCCUGAGAACAGAUUCGUGAAUAAGUUCUACGCCAUUAAACUCUCGGUGUUGCCAGAUCUCCAGUUAACCCUCUUUUAGUUAUGUUUUCAGACUCUAUAUGUUAUAUCUACAACAACAAUCGCAAUGGCAUUUCCUUAUUUCAAUCAAGUAUUAGGAUUCUUGGAAGCAUUGAUCCUUUGGCCUAUGAUCGUAUAUUUCCCAAUGGAAAUGUAUAUUGUGCAAAGGAAAAUUAGAGCUUGGUCAAGAAAAUGGCUGCUUCUUGAAGGUUUCAGUAUGAUCUGUUUGAUUGAAUUUGUACUGGGCUUUAUUGGAUCAAUUGAGAGAAUAGUUAGUGCUAAAUUAGCUUAAGAUGUAGAACUUUCUACUGUGAUUCUCAAUAAUGUUGCUAUUAAAUAGUUUAGUAAGAUUUUUAAGCUAAAAGACAAGUAUAUUUUCAUUAUUUGUAUGUAUUGUUAGAGACUUUUAUCAGCAACAGCAAAUAGGGUCUGGUGCUACACACUUUUAGCAAUGGGAAAAAUUAACUUGUUUCAUGUCAUUCUUGAAAUGUGAUUUACAAAUCUCAUUUACUGCCAA